AGGAUUAACGCUGGCGGCGUGCCUAACACAUGCAAGUCGAACGAGGUAGCAAUACCUAGUGGCAGACGGGUGAGUAACGCGUGGUCAACCUACCGUUGAGUGGGGGAUAACUAGCCGAAAGGUUAGCUAAUACCGCAUACGAGUCUCGGGGGCAUCCCUGGGCCUUAAAAGGAGCAAUCCGCUCGAUGACGGGACCGCGUCCCAUUAGCUAGAUGGUGGGGUAACGGCCUACCAUGGCACCGAUGGGUAGCUGGUUUGAGAGAGCGACCAGCCACACUGGGACUGAGAAACGGCCCAGACUCCUACGGGAGGCAGCAGUGAGGAAUUUUCCGCAAUGGGCGAAAGCCUGACGGAGCGACGCCGCGUGUGGGAAGAAGGCCUUCGGGUCGUAAACCACUGUCGAAGGGGACGAUAAUGACGGUACCCUUGGAGGAAGCCCCGGCUAACUACGCGCCAGCAGCUGC
rnacentral:rRNA from 1 species